GGAUACGUCAGCUUAAACGUUGACAACGGUUCCCUGGUUUGGUCGGACAAGGUUCUUAAUCGCCCCUCCCUGCCAAUAAUGGACGUCUACGGAGACAUUGUAGGGACGGAUGGACGCAAGCUGGUGAUGUACGAGGUCGAUGGGACGCUGGUCAAGCCAAUCGUCAACGAAAAGAAUCUAUCACCUGUUUACAGCAUUACAUUUUCCGACAACAAUAUAUUUGCCAUUGUUUCAAAGAAGGGAAUAUUGGUAACAGUUGAAUCAAACGGGGUUCCACACGCGUUCAUGGAUUUCCGAGGUUCGGAAGAACGCAUGAAUGGAACGUUUAUUCCCAUCGCACCGCCUGUGGUAAAUGGGCACCGGAUAUACAUGUUGACGGCCUUCCGUCCCGACAACAACAAAUCGGAACUGUCGAUGCGGCGGCUGUAUGCUGUAGAUAUAUUUAAUGUUCUCUCUGGAAAGCUGAAAGUUGCUUGGUAUUACAACUUCGAAAAGCUCUCCUAUUCGAAGUAUGAUAUACCGAUAAAACACAAUGUAGACGGUGUCUCUCCGCCACAAAUCUUACUUAAUACGGAUACCGAAACACUCUAUGUAAAUUUACCACCCCUGCAAUAUACUGAAAAUGCCAUUCACUUGAUAUAUGGCUUUAAAGAUUACUUAAACAGCACUGUUCCGACCACAUUAUUUAAAACUCCACAGUCUGUUUCUCAACUUUCAAUGUAUGAAUCGGGUAUAGGACGUUUGGAAACUCUAAAGACAGAAAACCAUGGUCAAGGAGUACCUUUACAAGGAAUAUAUAGACCACGAGGUGCCAUCAACGAGAACUCCGAUACCAUAAAUGGUUCUGUGCUGUGGGCCGUGUCAACAGAUAAAAGUCUCAUCCUUAAGUUAUCUCCGACUGAUGGAUCAGUGUUGUCUCAAAUUUCUCUGAAGAAUAUUUUCGACAUGCCAGCCAUGGUUACGUCUAGAAUCAUGGUGGCGAAAUCAAAGAGUCCACCGGGCGAGUUCCUUAUUUUUGGAAUAGACGUAUCACCAUCAAAUGGUUCUGUCUCAAAAACAUUUAAAAAUCUGUGCAACAAUCUUUUAACAAAUCCUCAUUUAAGAUACUACGUAGUUAGUAUACAGCUUACAAAUUUAGUUGUCAACUGGGUUAUUGAUACUCCAAACCAAUAUCCAGUGGUCGGACAAAUAGCUGGGAUUAAGCGAGGCAAGGACAAGACAGACUUGUUAAUCGUAACAACCAAUGCUCAACAAGGUUCAGAAGUAUUUGCUUUAAAGACAUGAUGUUAUUUUACGUACUUUUUAUUUCUACAGACAAUUCUGCAAACAUGCAGUUAAUGUUAAAGUACUUAAUGAAUUCAAUAAAACUUUAGUCCU
rnacentral:misc_RNA from 1 species